rnacentral:rRNA from 1 species
CCCGGCGACCGGCGCACGGGUGAGUAACACGUAUGCAACCUGGCCGUGACAGAUGGAUAACCGGGAGAAAUCCCACCUAAUACAACAUAAUGCCGGGAGGGGACAUCCCCUGCCGGCCAAAGGGGGCGACCCCGGUCACGGAUGGGCAUGCGGCGCAUUAGGUAGUUGGUGGGGCAACGGCCCACCAAGCCGACGAUGCGUAGGGGUUCUGAGAGGAAGGUCCCCCACAUUGGAACUGAGACACGGUCCAAACUCCUACGGAAGGCAGCAG